rnacentral:rRNA from 1 species
GCAAGAUACCACGGGCGCACGGCGGAUGCCUUGGCACAGGGAGCCGAUGAAGGACGCGGCAAGCUGCGAUAAUCCCCGGCGAGGAGCACACAUCCUUCGACCCGGGGGUCUCCGAAUGGGCGAACCCAUGCACAGCAGUGUGCAUAUCCCGGCCCUGAACACAUAGGGGCCGGGAGGACAACCCGGGGAACUGAAACAUCUAAGUACCCGGAGGAGAGGAAAUCAAUCUCGAGACUCCCCGAGUAGCGGCGAGCGAAAGGGGACCGAUGGCCAAACCGUCGAGCGGGCAUACCCGGCAGGGGUUCCGCCGACGGGGUUGCAGGGCCGCGCAUCCGGGGGCUGCCGCCCCCGGGCGCAGGUCCGGCUGGGGAGCGGAACGGCAUGGGAGGGCCGGCCGCAGCGGGUGACAGCCCCGUACGCGAACCCAGACCGGACGGCGCGACGCGGUCCCUGAGUAGGGCCGGGCACGUGAAACCCGGUCCGAACCUGGGUGGACCACCAUCCAAGCCUGAGUACUACCCUGUGACCGAUAGCGCACCAGUACCGUGAGGGAAAGGUGAAAAGCACCCCGGGAGGGGAGUGAAACAGUACCUGAAACCGUGCGCCCACGAGCAGUCGGAGCACCUUUAUGGUGUGACGGCGUGCCUUUUGUAGAAUGAGCCAGCGAGUCGCUGGCGCGGGGCGAGGUUAACCGAAAGGGAGCCGGAGCGAAAGCGAGCCUUAACAGGGCGACUUGAGUCCCGCGCCGCGGACGCGAAGCCGGGUGAGCUAUCCGUGGGCAGGCUGAAGCGGGGGUAAGACCCCGUGGAGGGCCGAACGCACGUCGGUUGAAAACGGCGGCGAUGACCUGCGGAUAGGGGUGAAAGGCCAAUCAAACCCGGAGAUAUCUCGUUCUCCCCGAAAUAGCUUUAGGGCUAGCGUCGCGCGUUCACCGCCGGAGGUAGAGCACCGGAUGGACGAGGGGGCUUCGCCGCCUACCGAAUCCAACCGAACUCCGAAUGCCGGCGGCCCAGAGCGCGGCAGUCAGAGCAUGUGGGCUAAGCUGUGUGCUCGAGAGGGAAACAGCCCGGACCGCCCGCUAAGGUCCCCAAGUUCCAGCCGAGUGGCAAAGGAUGUGCGUCCGCCCAGACAACCAGGAUGUUGGCUUAGAAGCAGCCAUCCAUUCAAAGAGUGCGUAACAGCUCACUGGUCGAGUGGACAUGCGCCGACAAUACACGGGGCUAAGCUGGACACCGAAGCGGCGGGAUUUUAAUUCAUUAGAAUCGGUAGGGGAGCUUCCCAUGGGCGGAGAAGCCGGAGGGCGACCGACGGUGGAGCGCAUGGGAGUGAGAAUGCUGGCAUGAGUAGCGAGAGACGAGAGAGUAACUCGUCCGCCGUGAACCCGAGGUUUCCUGGGCAAGGCUAAUCCUCCCAGGGUCAGUCGGGGGCUAAGGCGAGGCCGGGAGGCGUAGCCGACGCGCAGCAGGCAGACAUUCCUGCACCGCGCACGCGGCGCUACGACCGACGGGGCGACGGAUGGGGGUGGCUCGGCGGGGUUCUGGACGUCCCCGUGAUGGAGCGCGGCCCGCGGACCAGGGAAAUCCGGUCCGCAUACAGGGCGAGGCUCCGGACGAAGCGACUGAGCGAAGCGAGUGAGCCCGAGGUCCCUAGAAAAACCCCUAGGCAGGCGCGUGCGCGCCCGUACCGCAAACCGACACAGGUGGGUGGGUAGAACAUACCGAGGCGAUCGGGUCAACCAUGGUCAAGGAACUCGGCACAAUGGCCCCGUAACUUCGGGAGAAGGGGUGCCCGCGCGUACGUGAACCGGCUUGCCCGGGGAGCGGAGGCGGGCCGCAGUGGAGAGGCCCAAGCGACUGUUUACCAAAAACACAGGACUCUGCAGAAGCCGCAAGGCGACGUAUAGGGUCUGACGCCUGCCCGGUGCCGGAAGGUCACGCGGAGGAGUUAGCGCAUCGCGCGAAGCCCCGAAGCCAAGCCCCGGUAAACGGCGGCCGUAACUAUAACGGUCCUAAGGGAGCGAAAUUCCUUGUCGGGGAAGUUCCGACCCGCACGAAAGGCGUAAUGAUUUGGGCACUGUCUCAACAAUGCAC